CUACUGAGACAUUAAUAAUGAGAGAGAAAAAAGAAAUGAAUCGCACAUCUACUGCUAAUGCUAUGAUCUCAUCCCUGCAUUCCUGCAGGAGACAGCACUGAAUAGCGCAUGUGUACUACCUCCAUGCUACAUGC